GCCCACAGGCACAGCUCCCAGUGCCUGCAGAAUGCCCUGGCUUGUUUCUCCAGGGACCUGGAAUGAGCCAGGUGGGAGCAUCUGUCAGCACUGGUCUGGAGAGAGUCACUGCAAGCCCAGGACGGGCCUUUCCUCCUGCCCAGCUCACUGAGGACACCACACAGCAAACUGUGACCACACCUGAGCCUGCCCAGGAACUACUUCGUACCAAGGGCUUUGGCAAUGCAACAUUUAACUUCUAGAGGACCCUAAACUGCAGAGGAGACAUUAGUUAUCAGAUAUUGGAGGGCUUGAUUCAACAACCUACAAAAAUUAACUCUUGGUGAGGUAUGGUACAACCUGGAGGAGACUACAAACAAACUCUAAGGAGCUCUUGCUGGGAGGAAAGCAGCCCUUCCCAAUGAUCCUACAACAUCUUGCCACUCCAGAAGUUCACUGGAGAACCAGUGCCUGGACAUGGAUAACUCCUGGGAUGGUGUUUAAUGUUUACAGACAAAGGUUAUGGACAUGGACUGGUGGCUCAGGGGACCAUGGCCAGAGAGGGGAGCGUCUGAGGAGGCUCAGGAUUGUUUGCUCUCACCAUGUGUGGGCAGUUCCAGGCAUUUAGUGCUGGUGGAGCAUCUUGAGUUAAUCUUCAGACCAACAAACUGCAGCAGCACGAGCAGAGACACCCCUGCUGUGACUGUCGUGUCACACAUGGCACAAAUCAUUUCGGUUUUGCUGCCUGCAACUUGCAAGUCGCUUUAGCACAGGAGCCUUUCAGUUUGGGUGCUCUGCCCCUGCAAACUGAGGUCCUGAACUUGGUUCUAGCGAGCUGAGCAGGAAAAAGUGGCCACCAUGGGAAAGGGGAACAUUAUAAGAAGCUGAAUGUGAUCUGUGGAAAACGACUGCAUAAUACAUGAUAGCUUUGGGUUGGGCACUUAAUGUGUGUUUCUUU